GUCGUGAGAUGUUGGGUUAAGUCCCGCAACGAGCGCAACCCCUACUGUGUGUUGUAUCACUCACACGGGACUGCCGAGAGAAACUCGGAGGAAGGUGGGGAUGACGUCAAGUCAGCAUGGCCCUUACGUCCUGGGCUACACCCACGCUACAAUGGCCGGUACAACGGGCUGCGAAACCGCGAGGUGGAGCGAAUCCCUGAAAGCCGGUCUCAGUUCGGAUUGUAGGCUGCAACUCGCCUACAUGAAGCCGGAGUUGCUAGUAACCGCCGGUCAGCAUACGGCGGUGAAUAUGUUCCCGGGCCUUGUACACACCGCCCGUCACGUCAUGAAAGCUGGCAACACCCGAAGCCGGCGCGCCAACCGCAAGGAGGCAGCCGUCGAAGGUGGGGUCGGUGAUUGGGACGAAGUCGUAACAAGGUAGCCGUACCGGAAGGUGCGGCUGGAUCGCCUCCUUUCUAGGGAGAUCCGAGUCUCGGUCCUUCGGUGGGAUCGGGGCGUUGAUGGCUCCCAGGUUGAUCGCACGGCCGAUUCGCUUUCCUCCAGCCAGGUGGGGAGCGCCGGAACCCGCAAGGGGCCCGGAGGCCGAUCGCGACCUGGCGAGAAACACCGAAAAUCGCUCGAGCAUCCGCGGUCGAAGGAUCGCUGCCACUCUUCUAGGGUCAAGGGCGCAGCCGCCCGCGUCGCUCGACCGGGCGAAUGCGGAAUAUGGCGCGAGCCCGGCGGGCGUUUAGCUCAGCUGGUUAGAGCACUGCCCUGAUAAGGCAGAGGUCUCUGGUUCGAGUCCAGAAACGCCCACCACUCCCACCCGGGAGCCUGGGGGACGUAGCUCAGCUGGAAGAGCAUCUCCUUUGCAAGGAGAGGGUCAGGAGUUCGAGUCUCCUCGUCUCCACCACUCUCCGCCCGACCGUGCGCCCGAUGCCUCGGAGCUCCCCUGAUCGAUGUCCUCUCACCCAGGCCAUCGACCAGCGGAUCGCUGGGGUCGUCUUGCGACCUGAGCCGUGCCUUCGGGCAGGGCGCGCACCUUACCAACUGGAAUAGUGAUCGGCAGAAAGAGAAGUCAAGAUCUUCGAUUUCGCCGUGUUGUCAGAAAAUUCCGAUACCGAUUCCCUCCGCCCGUGACCUCUGGGUCAGGACGCUGAGGGGGUCAAGCUACACAGGGCACGAGGUGGAUGCCUUGGCGCCAAGAGCCGAUGAAGGACGUGGCAGGCUGCGAAAAGCUCCGGGGAGUCGCGAGCAGACAUCGAUCCGGAGAUGU
rnacentral:sRNA from 1 species